GCCGCUUGCAGCCGCUCAGCUCCAGACGUCACCUAAACCCGGCCCGAUAUCAUGAUAUUUUGCGCAUGCGCCCUCUAUGGUCACAAGAUACGAUAGGUCACAGAUUUCGGUGUCACACCUGAAAAGAAAGGGCACGAUAUUUUUCACUGCGCAACAAACUGAAUGUUACGAAACGACAGUUUCUAAACAAACUACAAGAAACACGGCGUCAGUAGCAGCUUUUCUUCAUUAAUUUCUCCAAGAGACGACAAAACUAUUCUUCUUCAUUAAAUCGGAAUGCUUGACAAAACUCCAGAAAGUCUAAAGCAGCUGUAAAAUGAUCCAUAAGCAGCAUCAACAAAUCUCUGCAGAACUGAAAUUUCUGCCUUCACUAAGAAAGAGACUUAACUGGAUACAGAUGACCUGAACACUAAGGAGUGUGGCAGGCCAUGAAGUCAGGGGAGGAAAGGUUUAUUUCUUCUUUUUGAGACGUCUCAUCAGCACUUUUACAAUGAUUUCCAGUUUAAAACAUACUUUUAUUAUUACUACUGUUUUCUUCCUGAAUAUUGAAAUGUAUAUUUGCACGUGUGCACGAGCUGAAUAUGAGAUAAAUGGAGAAUGCUGUCCCAUGUGUCCAACAGGAAGCCGUGUUUUUAGACAUUGCACUGAAUUCACCAGCACAACAUGCAAACAAUGUGUUGGUUUAACUUACACGGAUGAGCCCAAUGGUCUUGCAAACUGCAUUAGCUGUACGGUGUGUGAUGAUGGACAGGGAUUAAGAGUAAAAGCGGCCUGUACACAGACUUCAGAUACAGUUUGUGAGCCGCUGGAGGGAUUUUACUGUACUGAUGAAUACAGUGUCAGCUGCCGAUAUGCAGUGGAACAUACAAAAUGUAGCUCUGGACAAUACAUAAAGCAGAAAGGAACAGCAUUAAAAGAUGCUGAAUGUGCAGAGUGUGCAGAUGGGACCUACUCCAAUGGCUCCCUUCAAAUUUGUAAACCACAUUCAAAGUGUGAAGAUUUUGGACUUACAGAAAUAACAAAAGGGACAAAUUCUUUGGAUGUUGAAUGUGGAAAAAAACUUCCAGUAGCUCUAAUAGCUGGAGUCUCCCUAGUUAUAGUGGUAGUUUUGGCUGGAUUACUUAUUGUUAUUGUGAGAAUGCGAAGGAAAUGGCAACUUAGAGAUGGUACUGUGAGGAAAACAAGACACGAGCCAGAUGGAUGUGCUGCAUUAUGUUUACAGGACACCUUUACUUCACCAAAGCACAGGUAAGAGGCAAUAUGAAGAGAUGCUACCUGUUACAGUUAUGAAAUGUUCUGUACUCCUGAAGGAAGAAAUGUGCAAAUAAAGGGGAAAUGUGUUUCUGAUCAUGGGGCUUCUCCAGUUGAAGAUGACCAUGGAAAACAUUUUUGUGAUCCACAGGAGCAAGAGCUCACAAACAUUAGAAGUGCUGUAACGUGAUCGUGGAUAUUAUUUCUUGAAUUAUACAUGACAUGGUAAAAGACAGUCGGGACACAUGAAUAUCAUCUUUCUUCAUUAAGUUAAAGACCAGUUUCAGUCAUAUUUCAUUUUUCUUAAAGCUGCCAUAUUUAUGACCAUCAGUUUUGACCAUUGGAAUGGAAUCAAUGUAUGCAGAACUAUAUAUAGAGAUCUGCAGUCAGUACAGAUGUUGCCAUUAUCAAAUCUAACAAUCGCAGACAUUUGCAUUUAAUCCACAGUCCAUCUCCGUAUACCAGUGAGAUUCAGAUGGUUUUAAAGUGUCCUGUUUGUAGAUGGAUGGGCUGACAAAAUGAACAUGAAAGAGUUUUCUCAACUCUGUUCAGGUAAGUCAACAGCAGUAUUCACUCAAUUUAUCAAAUUUUAUAAAUAGAGACAUUUUGGUUUAGCAAGGUUACAAGUAAAACUGAAUUAGGUAGAUAUGUAUAUUUGACCAGCAGAAGUGUACAAGAUAUUUAUUACUUUAAAAAUCCACAGCAAAGUAAAAAACCUGUACACUGUUCACCGACAAAAUGUGCUUAUAAUUUGUUAAGCUUUGUUUUAUACAGGUAACAAGCUGAGAUUAUUAGCACUCCCUUUCUCUCAUUAAAACACAAAUGAAUUUAUAACUUUUUUGAUCAGUGUUUUUCAGGAUUUCUUUGUUGUUGGUGUAGUCUCUCACUGUUAAAAAAAAAAAAACUACCAUUAAAACAUACAAAAUCAGCAGGGGAUUGAAUAAAUUUUCCCCUCCCUGUAACUAGCCAGCCAGCCUAGCGAAUAUAACAGUGCAUUUUACAAAGAAUGUAGGGUUUUGGUGGUUUCCAAAUUCUCAAUUGAUGGCUAUUAAAAAAUAUUUUUUCAACAGUUAUUGUUGCAUCCCACAGACCAGCAGACUGAAUGCAUAUUGAUACUAUUCAGAGACUUAUAAUGAAUCGGUCAGGGAUAAAUAUGGCAGCAUGGUCAUACAAUGAUGUCACCUUAAUCAUGGCUUCUCGCAGUAACAUCAGCACUCGAUUAUCUACAUUGUCUACAAGAAAAUUUGCUUUGAAAAACCAUGUGUACAAAGAGUACACUGCAGCUGUUUUUUGCUGAUUGCACAUUUACUUCUGUGACUUGCACAAUUGCACCUUACACUCUUAGCAACUUUAAAAGAAAUAUCACUCUUAACCAUGAUGCUUACUUUGCACACAUUACAAACUGUAACAGUUUCUGGUAUAUACUAUUGUGCAUAUUCUAUAUGUAUGUCAAGUAUUAAUAAUGUUGUUUAUUGCAUAGGUUUUUGUAAUGCUCAGUGAAUAUAAAAUAAUCUUAUAAAAAGAUUAGAAUUUAUCUACACGACUUAACAAGCAAAUUAACACUGCAGUCUAAAUUAUGUAAUUUAUAUUUUAUAAGGAACAAUAAUACAUUUGCCUAUUUCUGCAGUUAUCUCCAGCAUUUUCUUAUAUACUCAAACCAGCCCGUGUGGUACCAAGAAUAACAGCACAGUUAAAGUCACAGAAACCAAACUUUUAUUAUUAUUAUUAAUUCCAUUGUGAAAAUUAAUUUGACAUGCAUCUGAAUGUUUUUUUUUUGCUGAUUCUAUAACACCAUAAAUGUCCAGUUGUGCAUAUGUUCCUAAUAAAGUAGAUGGUGAGUGUGUACAAAGAAGACCAAACAACUGUUAAAAAUAUACCCAAGAACCUAAUGUUCUAAAUCUUACAUUAUCUGUUGUUUAAUCAUCUUUACAGUGCUCUCUGUGAUGCAAUAAACAUGUCCCUGCAUUCA